GCAUUCACUUUGGCAGCACAUAAACUAAAAUUGACAUGAUACAUAAAUUCGUAUGGCCUUUGUGCAAGGAUGGCAUGCAAAUUCGUGCAAUUGAUGCUGUUAAG
rnacentral:snRNA from 1 species